AAUGGGACGACAAUACUGAAAUCUCUCAAUGGAUGGCCUAAAAGAUCAAAAGAUAUAAUUAAGAUAUCUUACAUCAGAAGCACCUGUAUUUCAAAAUUUCCAACAUACAAUUAAUGGUUCCAUGGUUUGCAUUUUGGAGGGCUGCCAUGAAAUAAGGCAACUUCAUAUAAGAGAUGUCCCACUCUCCAUAGAUAUCAAUCAAGGCCUUCUGUUUUUCAUACCAUACCUUUUUGUAUGAGAUAGUAUAGUGGAGUUGCUUUUUCAUACUUGCUAUAAUAGCUUCAAUAUUAACACUAGGAUCUUUCUCCACAAUAUGUCGAACCACAGUAGCAAUGAAUUUUGAACUGAUAUGCUUAUGAUCUCAACUUAGACCUUCAUAUAGAUAAGUAUGAAGUCCCUUGUAUCUGCUGACAAUCCCAAAAUUCUUCUUUUUCAACAUUGAAGUGCAUAACCUUCACUUGCAUUCAUUUUUACUGCCAUAUGAUACACACUAUAUUGCCCAAGUUUUAUUCUUGGAUUCAACUACAAUAUAUGUCUGAUGCUUCUUUAUAUGAUACAGAUCAACAGCUCUCUUCAGCUCCUCUUUGUUUAAGAAGACCAUAACUAUUAAAAUUUUUUUCAUUUCUGAAUUUCAAAAUAAGUAGCCAUCUUACAAGCAUCAACUAG
rnacentral:lncRNA from 1 species